rnacentral:rRNA from 1 species
AGGUCCGAACCGACGUUCGUUGAAAUGCCCGCGGAUGAAUUGUGGCUCGUGGUGAAAUUCCAAUCGAGUCGGGUAAUAGCUGGUUCUCCCCGAAAUAGCUUUAGGGCUAGCCUUGGGACAUUGUUUAGUGGGGGUAAAGCACUGAAUAUGAGCGAGCCGCGCCAAGCGGUAUCAAUCAUAAUCAAACUCUGAAUCCCAUUAGAUGUACCCCAGGAGUCAGACUACGGGAGAUAAGUUCCGUGGUCAAGAGGGCAACAGCCCAGACCGCCGAUUAAGGUCCCUAAAUUCACGCUAAGUGUCAAAGGAUGUAGAGAUACUCAAACAGCUAGGAUGUUGGCUCAGAGGCAGCCAUCAUUUAAAGAAUGCGUAACAGCUCACUAGUCAAGUGUCUCCGCGCCGAAAAUUUACCGGGGCUAAGCGUGAUACCGAAAUCGCGGAUGAAUCCUAAAAAUUCGUGGUAGGGGAGCGUUCUGUUUGCAGUGAAGCCAUAUCGUGAGGAGUGGUGGAGCGUACAGAAGCGAGAAUGCCGGCGUAAGUAACGAUAAAGGGUGAGAAUCCCUUUCACCAAUUGACUAAGGUUUCCUGGGCAAGGUUCGUCCUCCCAGGGUUAGUCGGGACCUAAGGCGAGGCCGACAGGCGUAGUCGAUGGACAGCAGGUUGAUAUUCCUGCACCCGAGCACGCAGUGAUGCAAUGACGAAAACGGCUAUGCUCACCUCCGAUCGGAAGUGGAGGGCAGAGCGUAGGAGUCGAUUCCUUGUUAAGUACGGGAAUCAUUAAGACAAAGACGUGCGGUAUGAAAGUCGCGAGACGAGUAAGAAACAGCAGACGCCGAUUUCCAAGAAAAGUUGCUAACGUUAAACGUGUUCGGCCCGUACCGAGAACGGACACACGUGGUCAAGGAGAAUAUCCUGAGGUGAGCGAGAUAACUGUUGUUAAGGAACUCUGCAAAAUAACUUCGUAAGUUAGCAAGAAGAAGUGCUCCAGCGAUGGAGCCGCAGCGAAUCGGCCCAAGUAACUGUUUACCAAAAACACAGCUCUAUGCUAAGUCGCAAGACGAUGUAUAUGGGGUGACGCCUGCCCGGUGCCGGAAGGUUAAAAGGAGAGGUUAGGAGCAAUCCGAAGCUUUGAAUUGAAGCCCCGGUGAACGGCGGCCGUAACUAUAACGGUCCUAAGGUAGCGAAAUUCCUUGUCAGGUAAGUUCUGACGUGCACGAAUGGUGUAAUAAUUUGGGCGCUGUCUCGACAGCAGACUCGGUGAAAUCUUAAUACCGGUGAAGAUGCCGGUUACCCGCGACUAGACGGAAAGACCCCAUGGAGCUUUACUAUAACUUAAUAUUGAGUAAAUGCGAAUCUUGUACAGUAUAGGUGGGAGACUUUGAAGUCGGGGCGUCAGCUUCGAUGGAGUCGCCGUUGGGAUACCACUCUGGAUUUGCAUUUAUUCUAACUCCUACCCUGGAUGGGCGGGAGGACAGUGUUAGGCGGGUAGUUUGGCUGGGGCGGCCGCCUCCCAAAUAGUAACGGAGGCGCCCUAAGGUACCCUCAGUAUGGUCGGAAAUCAUACGUAGAGCGCAAAUGCAUAAGGGUGCUUGACUGCAAGACCGACAAGUCGAGCAGGUACGAAAGUAGGGAUUAGUGACCAGGCGGUUUCAUUGUGGAAUGGCCGUCGCUUAACGGAUAAAAGCUACCCUGGGGAUAACAGGCUGAUCGCGUCCAAGAGUUCACUUCGACGACGCGGUUUGGCACCUCGAUGUCGGCUCAUCACAUCCUGGAGGGGCAGCACCUUCCAAGGGUUAGGCUGUUCGCCUAUUAAAGUGGUACGCGAGCUGGGUUCAAAACGUCGUGAGACAGUUUGGUCCCUAUCUGUCGUGGGCGUAGGAAGUUUGAAAGGAUCCGUCCCUAGUACGCAAGGACCAGGAUGGACAUAGCUACGGUACACCGGUUGUAACGCCAGUUGCACGGCCGGGUAGCCGCCUAUGGAUCGGAUAAACGCUGAAAGCAUCUAAGCGCGAAACCGUCCUUAAGAUGAGACUUCCCUUUCGCAAGAAAUAAGAUCCGCGGUAAGUUACCGCGUUGAUAGGUCGCAGAUGUAAGCAUAGCGAUAUGUUCAGUCGAGCGAUACUAAUAGAUCGACCACUUAUUUU